rnacentral:rRNA from 1 species
GAUGAACGCUGGCGGCGUGCCUAAUACAUGCAAGUCGAGCGAACGGACGAGAAGCUUGCUUUUCUGAUGUUAGCGGCGGACGGGUGAGUAACACGUGGAUAACCUACCUAUAAGACUGGGAUAACUUCGGGAAACCGGAGCUAAUACCGGAUAAUAUUUUGAACCGCAUGGUUCAAAAGUGAAAGACGGUCUUUCUGUCACUUAUAGAUGGAUCCGCGCUGCAUUAGCUAGUUGGUAAGGUAACGGCUUACCAAGGCAACGAUGCCUAGCCGACCUGAGAGGGGGAUAGGCCACACGGGAACGGAGACACGGUCAAGACUCCUAAGGGAGGCAGCAGUAGGGAAUCUGCCGCAAUGGGCGAAAGCCUGACGGAGCAACGCCGCGUGAGUGAUGAAGGUCUUCGGAUCGUAAAACUCUGUUAUUAGGGAAGAACAGAUGUGUAAGUAACUGUGCACAUCUUGACGGUACCUAAUCAGAAAGCCACGGCUAACUACGUG